CCAAUUGUUGCCUCGGCGGAUCAGCCCGCUCCCGGUAAAACGGGACGGCCCGCCAGAGGACCCCUAAACUCUGUUUCUAUAUGUAACUUCUGAGUAAAACCAUAAAUAAAUCAAAACUUUCAACAACGGAUCUCUUGGUUCUGGCAUCGAUGAAGAACGCAGCAAAAUGCGAUAAGUAAUGUGAAUUGCAGAAUUCAGUGAAUCAUCGAAUCUUUGAACGCACAUUGCGCCCGCCAGUAUUCUGGCGGGCAUGCCUGUUCGAGCGUCAUUUCAACCCUCAAGCCCCCGGGUUUGGUGUUGGGGAUCGGCGAGCCCUUGCGGCAAGCCGGCCCCGAAAUCUAGUGGCGGUCUCGCUGCAGCUUCCAUUGCGUAGUAGUAAAACCCUCGCAACUGGUACGCGGCGCGGCCAAGCCGUUAAACCCCCAACUUCUGAAUGUUGACCUCGGAU
rnacentral:rRNA from 1 species